GAUGAACGCUAGCUACAGGCCUAACACAUGCAAGUCGAGGGACCGGCGCACGGGUGAGUAACACGUAUCAAACCUGCCCUUUACUCGGGGACAGCCUUACGAAAGAAAGAUUAAUACCCGAUGAAAAGGCUGGGGAUGGGUUCCAUUUGGUUGUUGGUGAGGUAACGGCUCACCAAGCCUUCGCUGGCUAGGGGUUCGUAGAGGAAGGUCCCCUACAUUGGAACUGAGGCACGGUCCAAACGCCUACGGGAGGGUGCAGAGAGGAAUAUUGGUCAAUGGGCGUUAGCCUGAACCAGCCAAGUAGCGUGAAGGAUGGAGGCUGAUUGGUCGUAAACUUCUUUUAUAUAAGAAUAUGUAUUAUAUGAAUAAGGAGCGGCUAACUCCGUGCCAGCAGCCGCGGUAAUUC
rnacentral:rRNA from 1 species